AUUAAUAAAAAUGAACCUAAUGAACGGCCGUGUUUCAAUAGAGGUUUAAAGAAGUAAUCCUUAAUCUUCUUAAUCUGACUGGUGGUGAAUGACAAACAACAACAACUUAUAUACAUUCUUUCACCAGACAAACACAAAACAUCUAUAUACCAGUUCGUAGAGGUUAUAAUAAAUGAUAAUCCUGGACAUAGGUUCAUAUAUACAAUUUUUACUUGGAGUUUAAAACAAAUGACUACACAGGAUACUAAAAUUAUCUGAACACCAAGAGACAGCUAGACAUGGGUACAACUGAAGCUAAACCAGUUUGCCAGCAUUCAUGUAGCAGUGCAGUAACUGUAUACACAGAUAUUGAACAGGAUGACUGGAUUCGUAAUGACGCAACUGGAAAAAACACUAAAAACAGCAAAUCAAAUACGGACCACCAAGUUAGCUCUUCCGAACGCAAUGAACAAUGCAGUAUCGUUAGUAAUGAACAAGUCAUCAGAUCAAACAAAACAAUAUCACCAAGUACCAGCAAUAUUACAAACGUUGUAGAAUUAGAGGAAUAUGAUUGAGUUCAAACUUACUCGUUGUCUUACAAAACAAGAAUUAUACAUCGCCAUCAAAAACAAAGAUACAAGGCGAUGACAGCAUUUAAUAUAUAUGGGAUAAGCGGAAAUGUACCAUGUGCUAUCAUUGAUAACCAAUUAUGUAAUGAAGGGAAAAUAUUAUAUAUAAACGAUAUAAGUAUAAAUUUCAUAGUGAAGCUAUCUUGUUUGUACUAAGUUUUCAUUAGCUAUCUACAAAAUAACAAUAAAGGUUAGAAUGAUA